rfam:Canis lupus familiaris chromosome 1, whole genome shotgun sequence.
AGGAGGAACAGCCCCCGUGGCGGGGCAGCUCUGGAAACCUGGAUUCAGCCCCCGCAGUAACUCCAGAGCUCUCCGUCUGCAGGGCCUGGAGGCUCCGGGGCGGG